GUGCAAGUUUUUCAUCUAGUCUGAUGCUUUUAGAGAGUAGUUCACUCCUUUCCGUUGAAGGAAAACAAUGAAUAUUUGAUUCAAUUAUUUUAGUGAUUUUAAUCCGUUGUUAACGUUCUUGUUAAAUUAUUGUUUGUGUUUCUGUGUGAUUUUAAAGAGUUGAAACAACUAACCUAGAAACAGAUAUCGAUCGGCAAAUCAACACAUUGAAAAUAAAAAAUUAUAAUCGAAAAUGAAUCCCCAGCAAAAUAAACCUGUAGAAAAGAAGAAGCUUGCUAGGCUUUCCGGUUCUGGUUCAAAAUCCAACGAGGGUAAACCAGCUGGACCGACUGAUGAUUCUGGAAACUCGUCGACUGAAGAAGAAAAUAAAGGAACCAGAGGUCUUACAACAGGUCCAACUACUUCCAUUCUUAGACAAGCUCUACAAGGUCUCCCCAUAAAAACAGAAGAACCAAAAGGGGAUGAUGAAAAAGUAACUUCUACAUCUGAUUCAUUUAAUACUCAAGGUAAAGGUGUUGUGCCUUCCCCAACAAGGAAAAAUAUUCCAGCAGCUUUUGCUCUACCAUUAAAUCCUACUGAACAGAUCGAUCUGGCUUCUGGAAAUCAAAGUACAAUUGAAAAUCCUUCUGAACUUGCUGAACUUCCCAGUCCAAGGAACACUGGUGCAAGACCACGUGUUUCACCAAAAAGGAAGCCGGGUUCUUGUGCCAACCAAGAAAUCGUAUCACCCUCAAAGAUUUUAAGAAGAGAUCUGAAUCAAGAAAUUUCGCCAUCUUCAAAUGAGUUCUGUUCGACUGCAUCGAUAGAACUUGGGAAUACCUCUAGUGAAACUGCAAGUACGAUGGCAACAGUCAUAUCUUCGGAUCCGCGUCACGUGACUAUACAGAAGGGUUACCAACGUCGGCCCGCUUCAGCUGAUUACGAUGCUUUUUCCUACAUGUCGUCGAAUAAACUUGAGGCCAAAAGAUCUAACGAUUCUAGCGUCAGGACGGACAAGCUAGGUCCUUUCUCGAAAGACGAUCGUUUCAAGCAUAUGGCCUUGAACCUGGCCGAUAAAUUCAGGACGAUAAACUGUGUAAGCCAGCAGUUUUACGCGGAAAUGCUUAUCCAUAUGAUUUUGGCCGAAGCAUUAGAAGGCACCCUUACCAAACAUCAUAGAUUGCAAGGUUGCAUCUAUAAGAAGGAAUUGGAUUAGGUGGAUAUCAAAAUCGUCAACCCCCAUCUGGGUGUAUCUGUCAAUGUAUACCGUCAUCUUCAGACGUGAAGGAGACGAUUAUUUGGAGUCCAUCUAUUUAUUAUGUAGGCGAUGGUGGAACAACAUUCACAUUAGAUGAACUGGAGUCGUAAAACAUCAAUCUUGGAUAUGUGGAAUGUUGUCCAAUCUGUAUGUUUAUUGUUUGAAAUUUUUAUGAACAUUGCUAUUUGUUGUCUUUUGAAAUGCUUUGUAAUUCUGGUUGACUCAAUAACUACUUUAUAUCAGUAAUAUUUUAUAAUUGAUUCCUAAACUAACUUUUAUAUAAUUUUUUUGUAUAGUUUUAUAUCUACUUAUUGCUAAUUUUGAAUCUAAUAUAAUGAAUAUCUCCUA